ensembl:lncRNA
CGAGGGAACAUUUGGUCCAACUCAUCAGUGGAGAGUAAAUAGACGCAAACCCUUUUCUGGCCGUGUGGAAGUGAUCCGUGAGAGCGAAUCCAGAGUGCUGGAAGCGGGAUUUUACACUCAAACGCAUCAUUUCUUUCCCCACCACGUCUGGCAUUCAGUCUAUCGGUGGGACAUCAACACUCUCCAUCUUCUGUGCGGGAGCUUUCCGAUAGGGGUUAAUGGAUGGGGCAGGAUGAAGCAUUGUGUCCCCGCCGACGGAGGUUGCCAUUUGUUUUGUGCGGGAUCAAGGAGGAGAUCCACAGUUUGGUGCCUGUCGGAGAUGAUGGACGAACGUCUCCAUGUGAAACCAUUACACACCGUCACCGGGGGAAACACAUCACACAUCACUGCC